UGGGGAAUAUUGGACAAUGGGGGCAACCCUGAUCCAGCCAUGCCGCGUGUGUGAAGAAGGCCUUCGGGUUGUAAAGCACUUUCAGUGGGGAGAAAGGUCUGUCACCUAAUACGUGAUGGAAUUGAUGCUACCCACAGAAGAAGCACCGGCUAACUCCGUGCCAGCAGCCGCGGUAAUACGGAGGGUGCAAGCGUUAAUCGGAAUUACUGGGCGUAAAGCGCACGUAGGUGGUUUGUUAAGUCAGCUGUGAAAUCCCCGGGCUCAACCUGGGCACUGCAGUUGAAACUGGCAAGCUAGAGUAGGGUAGAGGGGUGUGGAAUUCCAGGUGUAGCGGUGAAAUGCGUAGAUAUCUGGAGGAACAUCAGUGGCGAAGGCGACACCCUGGACUCAUACUGACACUGAGGUGCGAAAGCGUGGGGAGCAAACA
rnacentral:rRNA from 1 species